rnacentral:rRNA from 1 species
CCUACGGGGGGCAGCAGUGGGGAAUAUUGGACAAUGGGCGAAAGCCUGAUCCAGCCAUGCCGCGUGUGUGAAGAAGGCCUUCGGGUUGUAAAGCACUUUCAGUGGGGAAGAAAGCCUUGGGGCUAAUACCCUCGAGGAAGGACAUCACCCACAGAAGAAGCACCGGCUAACUCCGUGCCAGCAGCCGCGGUAAUACGGAGGGUGCGAGCGUUAAUCGGAAUUACUGGGCGUAAAGCGCGCGUAGGCGGUCUGAUAAGCCGGUUGUGAAAGCCCCGGGCUCAACCUGGGAACGGCAUCCGGAACUGUCAGGCUAGAGUGCAGGAGAGGAAGGUAGAAUUCCCGGUGUAGGAGUGAAAUGCGUAGAGAUCGGGAGGAAUACCAGUGGCGAAGGCGGCCUUCUGGACUGACACUGACGCUGAGGUGCGAAAGCGUGGGUAGCAAACAGGAUUAGAUACCCUAGUAGUC